ensembl:lncRNA
CUCAGCCUUUGGGGACUGAGGAUAUGGUCAUUCUGACUGAGCUAAUCUCUAAGUCACCGUCUAGCUUAUUUCUAACAGAAGUGCUCAGAUUCUAUCUUACUGACUCCAUUUAGCAGGUGAGGAAACUUAAAUCGCUUUUCUGAUAUCCCAGGACUAGGGCAGAACAGAAUUAGGUUAAAGUUCACAUCUUAGGACUCAGGCUCAUUUCUCCAGCGACACCAAGGAGAGCUUACAAGAGCUGCAGCUCCUCUCCCCCAUCCUCUAGUCUAUGAAAAUUACAUGGCAUAUUAUAAAGCCAGUCAUGUAAACUGGGCAGAGUAAUAGCCUCAUUCUGCCCUCUUCUCUUACCAGGCACUGAGCACAAAAGGGGAUGGCUGGGUACCCCCUCUCUCCUACAGCGCAGAAUCAUCAGGCUGCUGGGGGCUGCACCCAAGGCCAGAAGCAGGAUGCAAAGCACUUCCUCAACCCUCGUUAAAAUGAAGUGAUGGAGUUGGAAAGCUACUCAGUAAAGGUGCCUGGAGCUGAGCUGAUGGUACAAUUCAAGGUUUUAGAGCUCAAGAAUAAUGCAAACAUGGCCAGAUGCACCAUCCUGAUGGAAUGGGACUUUUUGUUGCACAGGCUUCAUGGCACCCAGACUGUUUAAACUACAUCUUUACAGCUGUCAAUUUCAGUGGAAAGAAAGCUCCUCUUUCUCAGACUUCCAAUAGAAUUUUCACAACACAAUCUCAUAGGCCUGGGUCAAUCAUGUAUCAAAUCCUGAACAGACCACAUGAUCUGUGGCUGGCCAGUUUGGUGUCGAAAUUAGGAUAAAUUACCCUCUUUGGCCACAAUGGGUUAUAUUUUCACCCUACCUUCUGGGAACAUCAGGUGAGCUCCAUCCAAACCAGGUAGAAAAAAAAAAGAAGGUGGGGAUACCCCAAAGAAAAGCUGGGUACUGUUUCCAAAAGAAAAUAGGUACUGGAUAAUAGGUAUUGGACAGAUAAACCUAAGUUAUACAUUCUAUCUGCCUCUACUUCUGGACCAUGAGUAAAUCACCUGACCUCUCUAAGAUACAGUUUUCUUUGUAUAAAAAUGAGAGACUUGAGUUAAUUAGAUCAAGGCUUCUCAAAUUUCAGAGUACCUAAGAAUUUUCUGAAGGGUUUGUAAAAACAAUGUUUUGGACUCCACUGACAGAGAUUCUGAUUUGGGAGGUCUGGGAUAGGGACAAGGAUUUGGUUUUCUGUCAAGUACCCGGAUGAUGCUGUUGCUGCUCUGGGACCACACUGUAGUAUCACUGAGCUAGGCGACUGCUCAGUUUCUUGGCAAGCAAUGAUGCUUUGAGCAAUUAAAAAUCUUCAUUCUGAUACUCUAACUAGAGCCUCUGCUUCUUCAGAAUGGGAAGGACAAUAGAAGCCCAGGUCUUAGCUACUUUCUCAUCCCUGAGGCACAUUACCUGGCACCCACAACUCUAAGAGGAAAAGUUUAUUUUGGCUCACAGUUCUUAGAGGUCCUGGGGCUUGGUUGGCUGGAAUUAAGGCAGGGAAGCAUGGCAGAGGAGAAACAGUCCAUGCUGUGGCAGAAGAAAGCAGAGAGAGAGAGAGAGAGAGAGAGAGAGAGAGAGAGAGAGAGAGAGAUCAAGGGAGGAGGGUGGAAGAUAGACCCUCCCAGGCCAUACUCCUAGUGACCCACCUCCUCCCAACAUCACACUUAGCUGUAAACUCAUCAGUGAACUAAUCCACCAAUGAGUAUCACACCCGUAUUCAAAUCUCUACCAAGGCAGGCCUGAAGCAACGUGUUCUUGAUAACUUCCUUCUACAUUCUCACAAAUGGUCUGAAAAAGUUUCACAGGUAAGCAGAGGGCUUUUUCUCCCCCUGAUUAAGAACACAGAUUUUGGUGACAGCAAGGCCUGGACUCCAAUGUUCAUUCUAUUCAUUCAAGACUUCGUGAACUUGGGCAGGUUAUGUGAUCCCUCUGUUCUUCAGUUAUAAAGUUGGGUGUGGGUAAGACCUUCCCAAAGGGAUUGCUUUAAGGAUUAACAUAGAGAGGCCAUAGGUUUUGGCACAGAACAUGCAAGUAUAAAUGCAAUAAACGCUAGCAGUACCACACUUUAAAUUCAGUGUCUCUGCACACUCCAAGGAUAAACUUCUUUUAACAAUCUGGGCUCACAUCCACCCUCAGUUGUUCACAUCAACUCCUACAGUUACAUUUUUAAUAUUCUGGGGUCAAAUGCAUUUGAAGAAUGCUCUGUAAAAGGAAGUUUCUUUACUGUGGGAUCUUUGAGGGUUUUACUACGGUACUUUUCACAGAGAACCUCCAAAAGGGACCUUAGGUAUUCUGUGGUUCCCAAACCUGUUGGACCAUCAAACCUUUCUGUUUUGUUGUUGUUGUUGGUUUUGGUACUGGGGAUUGAACUCCGUUCCUUGUGCUUGCAAGGGAGGCGGCAGAACCACUGAGCUAAAUCCCUGGCCCUCUGUUUUGUUUUUAAUAAGGAAUGAAAUGAUUAAAAUGAAUAAUUGAUAAUUUGAAAUAGGAAAAAAGGUCCAAAGAUGAAGGAGUGAAAGGAGGGGAAGGGGAAAGGAAAAGAGGGAAAGGAAAAACUAUGAGAAAAGAAAAAAAAAAAUGGAAAUGAAAUCUAUGUAAAUAGGGAAGGGUGGAGGGAGUGAAGGGUGCACAGGUAAUGGGGAAAAAAUAAGAACCAAGAUACAUCAUGUACAGGUACAAACACCCAAUGAUAAAUGUAAAUGAAUUGUAUACCUAAACUGUACCAAUAAAAUGUACCAAUAAAAUAAAAAUAAAAUAAAAUAAAAUGUAUGAUAAAAAAAAAUAAGGAAUGCCUAUUAACACAAAAUUUUCCGAUAUUACAGAAGACAAGCUGAGAAACUCUGCUCUUGAGCCAAACCAUAUCUAAAAGGCUCCAAUAUGUUGAUACAUAGGCACAUCCAGUCCAGGGCUUUCCUACAGUUCCUAUGAACCAAUACUGAAUAUCAGCAGCAGUGAUGUAUCCUGAUUAGUUAAGUAGUUUCCAUGCAUUCCAAUAUUGAGGUUAUAUUUUGGCAUCAAUUUAAACUAAUUUCUUCCAUCAGCAGAUGUAAACACUUUGAAGCUGAGGUGCAAAUGUUCCAGUCUCUACUCUGUUGUAAUUCAAGGUGGGGCAUAGGAGCUGAGGAAGUGCUACCUCAUUGGAAGGAAGUGUUCACAUCCUCAUUGUCAAUGGGAAGAGAGGGUAGAAGGCCAGCUGAGAAUGCAGAAAGAAGUUAGAACAGGUCACCCUUUGUGAAAUAGUAGGGUAGAGACUGUGGUGGCUUUGGGCUCAAUUCACAGCUAUCAUUGCUGAUACGUAUCACAGGUACUUGCAACCUCUCCACGAGGCGUUUGGCUUCUAACAACGUUAUUAAAGUUGCCUAGGUCAAGAGCCAACUGUAAAUGUGGUCAAGAUUAUGCAAGAUUUAUCUAUAAUAUAAAAAUGUGAUCCUAAUGAUUAAAUCAGGGUCGCAAGGGGCUGCCUUUGUAAAAAUAAUGCCAGGUACAACUGGGAUCUCUAAAAAAAUGAAAUGUAGAGGACACUUGGCCAGUUAGUCUAAUGUGAAGAGUCUUUGAGCUCCGUGAAACUGCCAUGUCAGUGCACUUUCCUGGGAUUUCGUGUGACAUGCUGAAUUCUCUCAAGAACAUUAAAUAACUGGGACAUAGCUUCUACCAGCUUCUUAUUUCAUGUUACAUAGGUCUGGCUAAUCUUAGUCAAUUAAGAGGAGCUGAACUUUAAAACAUGUAGAAAACAGGCUGCUCGUGCUGAAGCGCUCAUCAUUAAAAAACAGGCACAAUGGUCUUACAGCCAUCGACCAGGCUGAGACCCCCCAUCUCUUGGCUCCAGCUCUAACCAGCUGGCCUGUCUCAUCUCACCAGUAGUGCGGGAUUUUGAAAAGCUCCACCACAGAUGGGCUUGAGACUGGGAGACCCACUACUUCCAUUGGCUGGAAUGCACUGCUCGCAUUUUUAGGAGUGUAGCACACGGUAUGUUGCCUUUUCAUUGCAAGGAGAGGAAAAUGUUUUGAAGGCAGCUGGCAGGCCUCAUGGAAACUCCUGCCAGUGGAGCUUCCUACAGCAAACUUCGUUUACCCCAAGGCUUAGGUGAUUCAGGUGGCUCUUUAGUGAGCCACUCUUUCAGCCAAACCAGUCUGUGUGUCUGGCUUUCCUCUCUGGUGUUCCCAGAUGUGCUUUAAAGCCUGCAACUGCUGAAUUAGGCAGGGCACUGAUCAACUUUCCUCCCCUUGACAGUGGGGGCUGUUGGUAACGGAUCACUGUGGCACAGUGUCCAGAGCAGCCAGGGAAAUCUUCAGCCCUCUCAGGCCCGGUGUGCUCUGGCAGCACAUUCAUCUUAAUGCACUCUCACUCCACUUCUAUGUGUGCUAAGUGAGAGUCCCAAAAGUCACUGCCAUGGGACGUUUUAGAGAAAAAGAAAAGUUUUGAGGGCAGUAGAGCAAAGAAAUAUCAGAUUGCUAAAAAAGCAUCAGUCCUGUUUCUCUGGAUGACAGCAGGAUUUGACAGACAAACCAGAGGAAAAGUGAGAACUGCUCAUUUCCUGUGAGGGUGGAAGACAGUGCAGCUGGUAGAGAAUGGCACUGGCACUGAGAUGCUGGCUGUGCUGAUUUCUCCUUCUAAGUCCCUGUUCAGUGCCUGUCAUUCACUUCCUCUUUCCACUACUCAGUGUUUCCUUUGGAUCAUAAAGGUAGAAAUGGGGCCCACUGUGGAGCCCCCAGGUGCCGGCCCUCAAAGGGGAUUACUCUCUAAUGAAGGACUCAGCAGUGCUCAGCUGGGGCCAGUGGGCAAAGGCACCCAUCAGCUGUAACUACAUGCAGAUGAUGAGGUUCCUCAGAUUAUAUAUAGUAGCACUGAGGAUGAGCUGGUACUCAAAAGCCAAAGUGACAGCUCUGAACUAUACCCCCAGCCCCACACUGGGUACAAUACCCAGAGUGCCAGAACAUUUCUUACUUGAUUCCCAUCUGAAUGGCUUAUCCACCAUUCUCUUUCUGAGGAGACAAGAAUUCACAUGUAGUGAAAACCACCAGUGAGACUUGUUGGCAAGAGGGCCUUCCACAGGAUUUCAUUCGGGGCAAGAUGAGUAUUUUACUUAUCUUUAGGCUCUGUAUGUUAAGGGCAGUGAUGGAAACAUAGGCGACUGAGUGCCUCUUAAAUGGCAGCAAGCUGCCAUUUCAUCUGUUUAUUACAUUUUUACUUUUAUAAAAUAAUUUUGUAUUUUUAUUCUUACUGGAGGCCUUUAGGGUUCUGUUCUGUAAGUGGAGGUGUAGAUGGGUUAAGUGACUUGCUCAAGAUGAAAAGCCAAGUGAGCAUCAGGAAUGGUACUAGAACUAGCUGCUGGUUGGGGAGGGGACACUUAAGGUAACAAAGGAAUAGUGAGAACUCCCAAGUCCUGCACUUCUGUCCCCAACUUAUUUAUAAGGCUUUAUAUUUAAAUAUCUCAUGAAGGAUUGAGGGUUUUCAUAGUUGUGAAGUGAAAGUGAAAAUAUAUAAUAAUAAAGACUACUCUAGGUUAUAGAUGAAUAAAUGUCCCCCUCUAGGUUAAAACUCAUGCUAAGACUUUUAUUAAGCUAGUGAGUAACAAUAAAGUGAUCAGACCUCACCAGAAGGCACAAAACUCCAUCAGAAAGAAACAGUAUCAAUUUUAUUAAUAGUGGAAAAUAAGAAAUAAUGAUUGUGUAAUUGGGAAUUGUUUACCAUAGAAGUAGUUUCUUUUGCCAGGAAAGUAAACAUUUAUACUUCUUGAUACUAAUCUAGCAGCAGGGGACUGUCACAUGUGACAGCACUCUGAUCAAUUAAUGUUAUCUCUUAGUUAUUUCUAUAAACUACUAACAACAUAACUGAGUGGAUCAGUGGCCACAGAGUGUAAUUUUGUACUUGCACUGUUAUGCUGACACUGACAUUUUGUCUCUAGAAUAAAUUUUUAACACUUCCAAAUCUCAAA